UACGUAGGUGACAAGCGUUGUCCGGAUUUACUGGGCGUAAAGAGCGCGCAGGCGGUCGAUCAAGUCGAGUGUGAAAGCCCCCGGCUCAACUGGGGAGGGUCAUUCGAAACUGGUCGACUCGAAGGCAGGAGAGGGUAGUGGAAUUCCCGGUGUAGUGGUGAGAUUCGUAGAUAUUGGGAAGAACACCGGUGGCGAAGGCGGCUCACUGGCUCAUUUCUGACGCUCAGGCGCGACAGCGUGGGGA
rnacentral:rRNA from 1 species